AACGAACGCUGGCGGCAUGCCUAACACAUGCAAGUCGAACGAAGGCUUCGGCCUUAGUGGCGCACGGGUGCGUAACGCGUGGGAAUCUGCCCUUUGGUUCGGAAUAACAGCUGGAAACGGCUGCUAAUACCGGAUGAUGACGAAAGUCCAAAGAUUUAUCGCCAGAGGAUGAGCCCGCGUUGGAUUAGGUAGUUGGUGGGGUAAAGGCCUACCAAGCCGACGAUCCAUAGCUGGUCUGAGAGGAUGAUCAGCCACACUGGGACUGAGACACGGCCCAGACUCCUACGGGAAGCAGCAGUGGGGAAUAUUGGACAAUGGGCGCAAGGCUGAUCCAGCAAUGCCGCGUGAGUGAUGAAGGCCCUAGGGUUGUAAAGCUCUUUUACCCGGGAAGAUAAUGACUGUACCGGGAGAAUAAGCCCCGGCUAACUCCGUG
rnacentral:rRNA from 1 species